rnacentral:lncRNA from 1 species
CCCUUUCUCUACCCCAAAAUACUUAACAUAUAAUCAGAGUAAAUAAGCACGCAUAUAAACGAAAGGGCGUCACAUCGACGUUUUCAAAAACUAAGAGCUUUCAAAAACCAACAUCAUUCAUCAUCAAUAUACAAUACACCUCGUCAUUUAAAAUAACACAUUUCACUUAUCAUGAAUAUUCAAGAAUAUGCGUUCGCAGCGGAAAAUAAUGAAUACUCAUGUAUUUCAUAAAAUGAUCCAUGUCCCAUACC